rnacentral:rRNA from 1 species
AUUGAACGCUGGCGGCAGGCCUAACACAUGCAAGUCGAACGAGUGGCGGACGGGUGAGUAAUGUCUGGGAAACUGCCUGAUGGAGGGGGAUAACUCCUGGAAACGGUAGCUAAUACCGCAUACCAUCGGAUGUGCCCAGAUGGGAUUAGCUAGUAGGUGGGGUAACGGCUCACCUAGGCGACGAUCCCUAGCGGGUCUGAGAGGAUGAUACGCCACACUGGGACUGAGACACGGCCCAGACUCAUACGGGAGGCAGCAGUGGGGAAUUUUGGACAAUGGGCGAAGGCCUGAUCCAGCCAUGCCGCGUGUCUGAAGAAGGCCUUCGGGUUGUAAAGGACUUUGGUUAGGGAAGCGGUACCUAAAGAAGAAGCACCGGCUAACUACGUGCCAGCAGCCGCGGUAAUAC